UGUCCAAUGAAAAAAUCCUUCAUCGAGCUCAUUAGCUCAUCUUGGAUCAAUGCCAUUUACCAUCAAAAGUGGCUCCGGCUAAACAAAAUGUUGACUUGAGGCCAAAGAGAGCAAGAAUGCUCACCCUUUCCCCCCUCCCCUGACAAAUCUGAUUUCAAACAGCCUGCGGCGUCCGCUAACCUCUGAUUUUCUGAUUCUCUCGGUACAUUCCGCAGACUUGGCAUCCGGCGAGACGGCGAACGGCCUCAGGAACCAUCUGACGUGGGCAUAAAUACUUUCCACGGAACGUACGUCUUGGCACGACAACAAACAACAAAGGGUGAAUAUCCAGAGCACUCAAUGAAUCACACCGAGAAGAGGAAGAGGAAGGGGAAGGGGGCUCAACGUUUUCAUCUUAAAGAGGCCAUCCCAACGCUCCGAGUCACGUCUGGUCAAAGUGCCUCUCGAGCGUCCUGCUGGCAGAGCGUCACGCGUCCAUCUGCGGCCCCCAAAUUACACAUCAGCCAGGCAGACGGACUCCCCGGGACUUAAAGCAGGUCUGCAUACCGUGGCACCAUGCUGCCUCUCACAGG